CAUUUCUCUAAUAUUUGAUGAUGAGCAGCAGGCAGAAAAAGACAUGCAGAUUGGGCUUCCCACAGAUGUAAAGCAUGUUGCUCAUGUAGGGAUUUCAAAUGAUUCCAAACCUGAUAAAGACAGUUCCGAUGUCAAAGAAGAUACAAAGAGAGC